rnacentral:rRNA from 1 species
CCCCUAGACGUUCUGGGCUGCACGCGCGCUACAAUAAUACGCACAGCGAGUAUCACCGAGCUCGAAAGGGCAAGGUGAACAAUAGAAAAGGUACUGUAAUGGUUAUAGAUCCUUGUAAUUAUUGAUCUUCAACGAGGAAUUCCUAGUAAGUAUGUGUCAUCAUCACGCACUGAUUACGUCCCUGCCCUUUGUACACACCGCCCGUCGCUCCUACCGAUUGAGUGAGCCGAUGAAACUGCCGGAUGUGGACUAUUCAUAGUCUGCAGAAGAUAUUUGAAUCGUAGCGCUUAGAGGAAGGAGAAGUCGUAACA